rnacentral:rRNA from 1 species
UACGGAGGGUGCGAGCGUUGUCCGGAAUCACUGGGCGUAAAGAGCGCGCAGGCGGUCGUGCAAGUCGCGUGUGAAAGCCCCCGGCUCAACUGGGGAGGGUCACGCGAUACUGCUCGACUCGAAGGCAGGAGAGGGAAGUGGAAUUCCCGGUGUAGUGGUGAAAUGCGUAGAUAUCGGGAGGAACACCAGUGGCGAAGGCGACUUCCUGGCCUGUUCUUGACGCUGAGGCGCGAAAGCUAGGGUAGCAAACGGG